rnacentral:rRNA from 1 species
UCUGAGAGGAAGGUCCCCCACAUUGGAACUGAGACACGGUCCAAACUCCUACGGGAGGCAGCAGUGAGGAAUAUUGGUCAAUGGACGAGAGUCUGAACCAGCCAAGUAGCGUGAAGGAUGAAGGUCCUACGGAUUGUAAACUUCUUUUAUAAGGGAAUAAACCCUCCCACGUGUGGGAGCUUGUAUGUACCUUAUGAAUAAGCAUCGGCUAACUCCGUGCCAGCAGCCGCGGUAAUACGGAGGAUGCGAGCGUUAUCCGGAUUUAUUGGGUUUAAAGGGAGCGCAGACGGGUCGUUAAGUCAGCUGUGAAAGUUUGGGGCUCAACCUUAAAAUUGCAGUUGAUACUGGCGUCCUUGAGUGCGGUUGAGGUGUGCGGAAUUCGUGGUGUAGCGGUGAAAUGCUUAGAUAUCACGAAGAACUCCGAUUGCGAAGGCAGCACACUAAUCCGUAACUGACGUUCAUGCUCGAAAGUGUGGGUAUCAAACAGGAUUAGAUACCCUGGUAGUCCACACGGUAAACGAUGGAUACUCGCUGUUGGCGAUAUACUGUCAGCGGCUUAGCGAAAGCGUUAAGUAUCCCACCUGGGGAGUACGCCGGCAACGGUGCAACUCAAAUGAAUUGACGG